GUGUCAGCCGCCGCGGUAAAACGUAGGUACCGAGCGUUAUCCGGAUUUACUGGGCGUAAAGCGUGUUCAGGCGGUCUGUCAAGUCGGGCAUGAAAGCUCUCGGCUCAACCGGGAGAGGCUGUCCGAUACUGGCAGACUUGAGGGCAGUAGAGGGUGGUGGAAUUCCGGGUGUAGUGGUGAAAUGCGUAGAUAUCCGGAGGAACACCAGUGGCGAAAGCGGCCACCUGGACUGCACCUGACGCUCAAACACGAAAGCUAGGGGAGCGAACGGGAUUAGAUACCCCGGUAGUCC
rnacentral:rRNA from 1 species